UCCUUCUCUCCCCUGCAUGCCUCCUUUGUCCUGAAGUGAUGAGAAUGAAGCAUAGCCUAAAAAGGACUAUUUUUAUCUUCUGUAUUUGCUGACUUAAUGUAUUAAAAGGCAGCAAAAUCUACCAAUUAAAUUUCUGGAGGAAGAAUCUGGGAUGACAAUUUCUAGCUCUUCCCAAGAAUGUUUGUUUAUUUUUGGGGACAUACUUUUUCUGAGAUUCAUUUCUAUUUUUGUAAACUGUUGAUACCUGUUAUUUUCCUUAUCUCACCCAUUUCUUGUGGAAGUUGAUUAAAAUUUGCCUACUGUUCUAGGCC